UCUCCGUUGGUGAGCCAGCGGAGGGAUCAUUACAGGACUCGCAAGACUCCUACAACCCUGUGAACUUAACUAUAAGCACGUUGCUUCGGCGGGUGUCUCGGAGGGGGUUCUCCCUCCCCGAGACGCUAAACCCGCCGGCAGCCUACUAUACUCUGUCUCUUUGCGUUGGCAUCUCGAGUACAAUCAAACAAGUCAAAACUUUCAACAACGGAUCUCUUGGUUCUG
rnacentral:misc_RNA from 1 species